ACCGCCGGUCUUAAGUAAUAAGCAAUUAUACGGGCGUAAACUGUCGCAAUGGGCUCAUUAUAUAAGUUAUCGCGGUUAUUUGAUAGCACCUUACUACUUGGAUAACCGUGGUAAUUCUAGAGCUAAUACAUGUCUAAAAAUCCCGACUUCGGAAGGGAUGUAUUUAUUAGAUUAAAAACCAAUGCCCUCUGGGCUCUCUGGUGAUUCAUGAUAACUUCUCGAAUCGCAUGGCCUUGCGCCGGCGAUGGUUCAUUCAAAUUUCUUCCCUAUCAACUUUCGAUGUUUGGGUAGUGGCCAAACAUGGUUGCAACGGGUAACGGAGGGUUAGGGCUCGACCCCGGAGAAGGAGCCUGAGAAACGGCUACUACAUCCAAGGAAGGCAGCAGGCGCGCAAAUUACCCAAUCCCGACACGGGGAGGUAGUGACAAUAAAUACUGAUACAGGGCUCUUUUGGCCGCAGGUUCACCUACGGAGUCUUGUAAUUGGAAUGAGUACAAUUUAAAUCCCUUAACGAGGAACAAUUGGAGGGCAAGUCUGGUGCCAGCAGCCGCGGUAAUUCCAGCUCCAAUAGCGUAUAUUAAAAGUUGUUGUGGUUAAAAAGCUCGUAAUUGAACCUUGGGCCUGGCUGGGACGGUCCGCCCUCACCGCGUGCACUGGUCCGGCCGGGCCUUUCCCUUGGUGAAACCCCAUGCCCCUUCACUGGGGGGGGGGGCGGGGAAACCAGAACUUUUAACUUUUGAAAAUAAUU
rnacentral:rRNA from 1 species